UCUACCUCCUCCUGAAUGUAUGCCUCAAAAAUCGGUACCUGCGCCGGGGUGAGGCACGCCCGUGCACACUGUCGCCAAUCGAAAAUCAGCAGGCCACUAAGACUAAUAGCGUCCAACAGGACCUGCGCCUGCGAUCCGGGCGAUACAAAAAGACGCCAUCUUCCUUCCCUGAGGGAAAGCUGCUACCAACGGCCAGCCCCCGCCCCGCCCCCAUAGAGGAACCGUCCCCGGCGGGAAACGCUCGCGCCGGCUCCUCGCCUUCCUAUUGGCGAGUUCUUGAGUCAGCAGCUGAACACACAAGCCCUAUGAAGAGUUGAAAACAGCCAUGUGGAUGGCAGCACCUCUGCAGCACUGCUGUGCCAGGGCGGUGGGUAUGCGAAGGUAUAAAUAGCAAGCAGGUUUUGGUGACAGCUUUAUAUUCAUUUCUCUCUGCUUGUGGAGAAGGAAGCUUCUAUAGGGGUAUGUAUCCAGGAGUAUAGUUACAGUCAUUAUCUCCUAAUGAGAAGUCACUUGGUUUCUGGUAAGGAAGUGUGGAAGGCAAUUCAAAUGUUAGUGCUUUUCUUUUUUUAUUGAAGUGUCUAGAUCUGCUAAGAAUGCAGCUUAGCUUUGUUGGGUGUUCUAAAAAAGAUUUGCAAAGUCAGAUUCUGACAAGGAUGUAUUGUGCAGCGCCAGUGCCCCUGUUAAUGUAAUUGUAUUAAUCAAUAAUAUCAUGCACUCAGGAUGCUUUGUUCGUGACCACAGAACUCACAAUUAAUAUGUAAAUUCAAAGGUUGGUUUAAUAAAGCUGCUGGUCUUUCACAAAUAAAUUUCUUGUCUGCCAUUAGACCUUAUGGCAUUAAUAACACAGUGGAAAAGCAGAUAAAAUGUAAUGUUUAUGUAAUUCAUAUUUGUUUCACAGCUUUGUUUCUGAGCAACAAACCUGAUCAGGAAUUAAUUUGCCUGUUAAGGACAGGCCAGUCAGAAGCAGUCAAAUUCAAGUUGGUAUUCUGCAGCCACCUGCAGCAACAUUAAACAUCUACGAGGUAUCUGCUAGCCUGUCACCACUGUGAGCUUAAUGCCUGUUAGUCAGGCAUUAACGAGCUGUUUAACACUGAAAAGAGUAAUUUCAGCUGUUCAAAACUGGGAGGCUCAGAUGCAGGUGGUUCUGUGCAGGGAGGACAGUGCAGAACUCGCCCGUGUAAUCUGUGCAGCAAACUUUGCUUCAUGUUCUAAAAGCACCGUGACUGUGAUGUCUGGAGUAGCUAACUGCUGCUCCCUAAAGGCAAGUGAGGAAGAAAGCAACCUUCAUCAUGAGAACUUGUGUGUGUCAAGCAAGAACUCAUCAUAACAUCACGUUUUCUUUUUCCCUCUGUUUGAUUAAAGGAGAUGCUUUGUUACUAUGUCACACGUGACCAACCCACUAGUUCUAUGUUUUUGUUGCCCCUUCGAUGUUUUAAUUAAGAAUAUUGAAAAAAUAAAGUCUUGUUACUUAUAUAUGUUAA